rnacentral:rRNA from 1 species
GAUGAACGCUGGCGGCAGGCCUAACACAUGCAAGUCGAACGCCGUAGCAAUACGGAGUGGCAGACGGGUGAGUAACGCGUGGGAACCUUCCCUAUGGUUCGGAAUAGCUCAGGGAAACCUGGGGUAAUACCGGAUAAGCCCUUCGGGGGAAAGAUUUAUCGCCAUUGGAUGGGCCCGCGUCGGAUUAGCUAGUUGGUGAGGUAACGGCUCACCAAGGCGACGAUCCGUAGCUGGUCUGGGAGGAUGAUCAGCCACACUGGGACUGAGACACGGCCCAGACUCCUACGGGAGGCAGCAGUGGGGAAUAUUGGACAAUGGGCGAAAGCCUGAUCCAGCCAUGCCGCGUGAGUGACGAAGGCCUUAGGGUUGUAAAGCUCUUUUGGCGGGGAAGAUAAUGACGGUACCCGCAGAAUAAGCUCCGGCUAACUUCGUGCCAGCCGCCGCCGUAAUAC